ACUCAAAGGAAUAGACGGGGGCCCGCACAAGCGGUGGAGCAUGUGGUUUAAUUCGAUGCAACGCGAAGAACCUUACCAGGUCUUGACAUCCAAAGAACCCUGUGGAAACACAGGGGUGCCUUAGGGAGCUUUGAGACAGGUGGUGCAUGGUUGUCGUCAGCUCGUGUCGUGAGAUGUUGGGUUAAGUCCCGCAACGAGCGCAACCCUUGCUAUUAGUUGCUAACAUGAAAGAUGAGCACUCUAAUGGGACUGCCCGUGACAAGCGGGAGGAAGGUGGGGAUGACGUCAAAUCAUCAUGCCCUUUAUGAUCUGGGCUACACACGUGCUACAAUGGAUGGUACAGAGAGCAGCGAGACAGUGAUGUGGAGCGAAUCUCAAAAAGCCAUUCUCAGUUCGGAUUGUAGUCUGCAACUCGACUACAUGAAGUCGGAAUCGCUAGUAAUCGCGAAUCAGCAUGUCGCGGUGAAUGCGUUCCCGGGCCUUGUACACACCGCCCGU
rnacentral:rRNA from 1 species